UACGUAGGGUGCGAGCGUUAAUCGGAAUUACUGGGCGUAAAGCGUGCGCAGGCGGUUUUGUAAACCGGAUGUGAAAUCCCCGGGCUUAACCUGGGAAUGGCAUUCGGGACUGCAAGGCUGGAGUGCGGCAGAGGAGACUGGAAUUCCUGGUGUAGCAGUGAAAUGCGUAGAUAUCAGGAGGAACACCGAUGGCGAAGGCAGGUCUCUGGGCUGACACUGACGCUCAUGCACGAAAGCGUGGGGAGCAAACAGG
rnacentral:rRNA from 1 species